CCAAGCUCCUAUGGCUCAGCUCACUCAUAUGUCUGUUAUUUCAGUGGCUUCUGGGGUGUAUUUCAGUGGUUGGUGACUCUGCACUCCAUGUCACUAUGUUCUGAUGGACUUUGGUGCUUUCUCGCUUCUUCCUCAUCCUCUGCACAUUUUUUUCACGAAGCUCUUGAUGUGUUGCCUGCUAUAGCUUAUAGUCCACAACAGAUCAUUAUUUUGGAUGAGGAGGGUAUUAAAAUGGUAGAAUAAGACUAAACACACUGUGUAUGAAGAUGAAGAACUGGACACCACAAACUUUGGUCAAAAUUUUUUUCAAGAAUUUUACUGAAAAGAAUGAGGAAAGAUAUGGUGCUGAGCAUGAGAGUAACCUGUCUGGGCACGAAACUUGAUCUUGCUUGUCAUCUAUUUCCAAGAGGAAGGCACAUAGUGAAUUUGAGAAAAUUAUAUUUGAGCCCCAAACUGAUGUUUUAACCACGACGAAGGUGGGAAGAGAUUCAUCUGGAGAUAUCAGAUCUCUGAGGAGAGGAAGACAUUAAAAUACAAUUCAAAGAG